UACGGAGGGGGCAAGCGUUAUUCGGAAUCAUUGGGCGUAAAGGGCGCGUAGGCGGCUUGGCAAGUCAAAGGUGAAAUCCCUCGGCCUAACCGAGGAACUGCCUUUGAUACUGCUUGGCUUGAGGCCGGGAGAGGGUAGCGGAAUUCCCAGUGUAGCGGUGAAAUGCGUAGAGAUUGGGAGGAACACCAGUGGCGAAGGCAGCUACCUGGACCGGUGCUGACGCUGAGGCGCGAAAGCGUGGGGAGCAAACAGG
rnacentral:rRNA from 1 species